CAGAGAAAAUCCCCCUUUGGGGUAUAUCUCCCACCCUUUGUUUACAAUACUAUCGUUGCUUUGGCAGGCCCGUCCUUCGACCACUGGCUAUUUGCUGGUCAGUGCCUGCCAGAGGACCCUAUAACUCUAUCGUAAAUUUGUUGUCAGAGUACUUAUGUAAUUAUUA
rnacentral:misc_RNA from 1 species